rnacentral:rRNA from 1 species
CGGGGGGGCAAGCGUUGUUCGGAAUUACUGGGCGUAAAGGGCGCGCAGGCGGGCGAGACAGUCUUUCGUGAAAUCCCACGGCUCAACCGUGGAACUGCGGGAGAUACUUCUCGUCUUGAGUUCGGGAGAGGAGUGUGGAAUUCCCAGUGUAGCGGUGAAAUGCGUAGAUAUUGGGAGGAACACCGGUGGCGAAGGCGGCACUCUGGACCGAUACUGACGCUGAGGCGCGAAAGCUAGGGGAGCAAACGGGAUUAGAUACCCCCGGGUAGUCCUAGCUGUAAACGCUGAGCACUUGGUGUAGCGGGUAUCGACCCCCUGCUGUGCCGAAGCCAACGCAUUAAGUGCUCCGCCUGGGGAUACGGUCGCAAGGCUG